CACCAGCAAUCACCAUUCCUGUUUCCUGCUGCUCUUUGUUUCACCACGUGGCCAUCAUCCACGAGGGGACAAAAUCCAUUGCCAUCAAGUCUGGUUCCUUUGAAGAUGUUGCAUUGCCUGAAGUUGCAGCCUUCCUCCAGCCUGAUGGUCGAGACCGACAGGUAGAGACUUGAGGCUGCUUUGCUGUCACUGCGGCAGUCACCAGCUGCAUCUCAGUCAUGCCUGGCACCACAGCAAGAGCUGGAGCUGUGACCCCUCGCUUUGUCUGAUGUGGCCUCUGGCUAGUCGAACCAAAGGGAUGGGAACAGAUCUUCAUGCUGGUGCCAAUGCUGAUGUGCCCAGGCUGCAAGCAUGGCAAGCUUGAGCCCUACCAGAUCAAGUGAAUGGACCCUUAAUCCAGUUUUCAGUUGCACAAGUCCUAGUUCAUGAGGAUCCAUCAAGAAACAGCAGCAGCAGUUUUCCUCCCUUUCCAAAGCACUCUGCUUUUCCUCUUCCUUUCUUUGGCAGUUUUUAUGGAUUUCAUUCAGCUUUUGCAGCUUUCAAAAUGUGGAGCAAUGGUGAGGCAG